rnacentral:rRNA from 1 species
GACGAACGCUGGCGGCGUGCUUAACACAUGCAAGUCGAACGGAAAGGCCCUGCUUUUGUGGGGUGCUCGAGUGGCGAACGGGUGAGUAACACGUGAGUAACCUGCCCUUGACUUUGGGAUAACUUCAGGAAACUGGGGCUAAUACCGGAUAGGAGCUCCUGCUGCAUGGUGGGGGUUGGAAAGUUUCGGCGGUUGGGGAUGGACUCGCGGCUUAUCAGCUUGUUGGUGGGGUAGUGGCUUACCAAGGCUUUGACGGGUAGCCGGCCUGAGGGGGUGGCCGGCCACAAUGGGACUGAGAUAAGGCCCCGACCCCUACCGGGGGGCGGCGGGGGGAAUAUUGCCAAAUGGGCCGAAGGCUGAUGCAGCCACGCCGGGUGCGGGAAGAACGCCUUUGGGGUGUAAAACCCUUUCGCCUUUGACGGAGGGGGGGUGACGGUAAUGGGUAAAGAAGCACCGGCUAACUACGUG